rnacentral:rRNA from 1 species
CUAUUGGAAACGAUAGCUAAUACCGCAUGAAAUUGCUUAUCGCAUGAUAAUUAAUUGAAAGAUGCAAUUGCAUCACUACCAGAUGGACCUGCGUUGUAUUAGCUAGUUGGUGAGGUAACGGCUCACCAAGGCGACGAUACAUAGCCGACCUGAGAGGGUGAUCGGCCACACUGGGACUGAGACACGGCCCAG